AUGGUCCUUUGUCUCCUGGGUGCAGGCUUCAUUGUUGCAGAAGUCACCCAGACUCCAGGACACCUGAUCGAAGGGAAAGGACAGAAUGUGAACAUGUAUUAUGUCCCCAAAAAGGGGCACGAUUAUGUUUUCUGGUAUCAACAGAUCCUGAAGAAAGAGUUCAAGUUCUUGGUUUCCUUUCAGUACAAAAACGUCCUUGAAGCAGAGAUGCCCAAGGAGAGAUUUUCAGCUGAGUGUCCCCAGAACUCAGCCUGUAUCCUGGAGAUCCACGGUACAGAGCUGCAGGACUCAUCCAUGUAUCUUUGUGCCAGCAGUGAACACACAGUGUUAAAUAUUAGUGAACCUUAG